rnacentral:lncRNA from 10 species
UCUAAAGUACUUUAAAGGAAAUCGCCAUACAGACAAUCUACCACUGUGAAACUCAAAGGUAGAGGAGAAUUAGUGGGUCUUGUCUGAGUAGCAGAAGCUUGAGAGACACGGCGCUCGGGGUUGAUGAUUUUGUUUUGCUCUUGCGAGAAUGGGGGAAGGGAGCUAUCAGGAAAAAGAGGUAAUUUGUGAAGAAAGAUGAAGACCUUGAGAUAAUGUUGGACACAACAAGAAACAGACCAUUAUGAAUACAUGACUGGGGCUCAGAGAGAGGUCAGGCUGAGUGUUCGCAUGUAAGAGUCAUUCUUAUGGAAAUAAGAAUUGAAGCAGGAGCAGAAGUGGUUUCUCCAACUGAGAGUGGGAAAAGAACAGAAUAACCAGAGUUUAUUUACGUUGGGGAGAGGAAAAGGUGCCGUUUAUCUGACAGAAAGGGAGUUGGGGCCGGGCGC